GCGGAGGAAAAGAAACCAACCGGGAUUGCCUCAGUAACGGCGAGUGAAGCGGCAAAAGCUCAAAUUUGAAAUCCUUCGGGAGUUGUAAUUUGUAGAGGGGUGUCUUUGGGGCGGCAUUGUCUAUGUUCCUUGGAACAGGACGUCACAGAGGGUGAGAAUCCCGUGCGAUGAUGCCUCAACCAGUACAAGACCCUCUCGACGAGUCGAGUUGUUUGGGAAUGCAGCUCUAAGUGGGUGGUAAAUUCCAUCUAAAGCUAAAUACUGGCGAGAGACCGAUAGCGAACAAGUACAGUGAUGGAAAGAUGAAAAGCACUUUGAAAAGAGAGUGAAACAGUACGUGAAAUUGUUGAAAGGGAAGGGUAGGAGGUGAGGGGAAGAGCUGCUUAGGCGCGGGAGAUAAACAAGCAGGAAGCGCUUCGGUGCGGCCUGGUAAAUAUCCCG
rnacentral:rRNA from 1 species